CAGUACGCCGCGCAACUCCACAGCCACUCGCCCCCGCUCCGCUCCACUCCCCAAUCGAGCAAGGCCGAAGCCCUAGCUCGCCGCCGGCGGCCGCCAUUCCCCCCUCCCCCGCACGAGCCGAGCGACGCGCGCGGCCUCCGCCCACCCCCUCCGGCGAUGUCCCGGCGGCGGCCGAGGGGCGGGACGCAGCGGAUGGACGCCGCGAUCGACCACUUCGCCAUCAUGGGCUA
rnacentral:rRNA from 1 species